rnacentral:rRNA from 1 species
AGAGUUUGAUCCUGGCUCAGGAUGAACGCUAGCGGCGUGCUUUAGGUAUGCAAGUCGAACGGUCCCGCCUUUGGCGGGGCAGUGGCAGACGGGUGAGUAACGCGUAGGAACGUACCCUUUGGUGGGGAAUAGCCCGCCGAAAGGCGAGGUAAUACCGCAUAAUCUUUUCGAAGCAAAGCGAGUAACUUCGCGCCGAAGGAGCGGCCUGCGUCCUAUCAGCUUGUUGGUGAGGUAAUGGCUCACCAAGGCGACGACGGGUAGCUGGACUGAGAGGUCGGUCAGCCACAAUGGCACUGAAACACGGGCCAUACACCUACGGGUGGCAGCAACCGGGAAUAUUGCGCAAUGGAGGCAACUCUGACGCAGCGACGCCGCGUGAAGGAUGAAGGCUUUCGGGUCGUAAACUUCUUUUAGUUUUUCAUACGAGAGACAGAAUAAGCACCAGCAAACUACGUGCCAGCAGCGGCGGUAAUUCGUAGGGUGCAAGCGUUAUCCGGAUUUAUUGGGCGUAAA